AACAAAGUAAAAUUGGUGCCUUUAAUUAGAUAAUAAACAGAUGGUAGGUCUGUUGUGAGUCAGACGCAGGAUGGAACAAUAAAUUCUCUGCUUUAUUCUGCUCAGACAGCUACACCACCAGCAGCUGGGUUUUGCUUCUGGUUCCAUCUCCCCACGGCCUCAUCUCCACUGGGACGGUUGAUCUGGCUUGCAUUGUCCACGGAGUCUCCAACCCAGUCCAAAUUUCCUGGAAUAUUUCUGGGGAUCAGCAGGAACAGGCACUAAUGCGAUCACUGAAAGCAAAGGAUGGAUCCUUAAUGCUCAUAAGUCACAUUAGCAUCCCAAAAGACACCUGGACCAGUGGGAAGAUUUUCACAUGUGAAGUCAAAUUCAACUCUUCUGGCAACAGAGUUAAGAAAAGUGCCAGGUAUUUUGAAUUCCAUCCCAGCGGGUGUGUGCCGCAGAUAUUGCACCACGUGGUGGCAGUUUUCCUGGUGGGGUUGAUGGUGUCUCUGAGUCUGGCUUGGAUUCGCUGCUGUUCCAGUCCAGGCUCAAAGGGUUUAUGCCCGAGUGAAGUUUCAGUCAAGGAAUCACAACCAGAUCAGGAUGCAGUGGCUGAUGGACGAGAAAAAUCCUAACCCACCCUGAGAUCCGAGCCUGGAAACUCACAGCUGGUUCACUGCUGACCUCAACGACGGUAGCCAUUUUGUAAGAUGGUGUCUUUCUGUAAAAGCUGUUGGUUUGUUUUUACUGCUUCUGCUCUUCACCGCUGCUGCAUGUGGCUCAGUUGCAAAAUAUAAUUAAAAAGUAACCUGACUUGUCCACCUCCUAGAGUAUAAAUAGCAGGAAGUCACAGAAAGAACCAAACCCGUGGAGGUGAGAGAUUUCCUGCUGCGAUAGGCAAGACAUUGUCAUGCCUGUGAGGGGGCUGCUGGCCCCUUCCUGACACUUACUGGGGUUCUUUGGUCGGCCCUUUCCCAGUACCAAAAGAAAGGGGACGGGCCGAUGAGAAACUGACAGUCCUCGGGGUCAAUGGGGAGAGGCCGAUGCACCAAGUCAGCUAGAUUGACGGGGCAGGCAGGCCAAUGAGGGAGCCGGGAGCCUGGAGGGCCCGUCCUCCAUCUGAGGUUUACCUGCCUACGGCAGACUGAGUAGGGCUGAGCUAAGGGGAGAGCAGCAGCCGGCGCUGAGGUCGAGGCAGAGGGAUCAGGGAGCAGCCCAGAUGGCAGAGCUGGGCUGGGGGUAGAGCUGGGCUAGGGGCAGAGCAGACCAGCCGCCGACAGGGAGCCGGGCUGAGCUGCAGCGGGGAGCUGCUGGGCCGGAGCUGGGGAGUGGACGCCGGCCCCGCCGCACGUAACACUGGAGCCGAGCGCGCUGAGCGGCUGGCGAGAGUGAGGGGGACUCUGUGCGCAGGGAGACGUCGCCAGACAAGAGGCCUUGCAGGCCAGACUUGGAGCAGGGACAUGAACCCGAUGGGACGGCUGGUGCUGGGGAGAAGGGUCCUGCCAUCUAGAUCCUGAGGGCGAGUGGCCACCCCCAGAGCAGGUGUCUGACCCGGGGUAUCACCGCAGCACAGCCAGGGCCUGGGACGUGUGAGGAACAGACUGUGAGCUCCCCUGACAUCCCAGAGCCGGCUGGUUGUGCUGUCUCCUGUGCCCACUGGGUGGAAUUCCUUGUUCCCUUUAACCUUUCCCAUUUUUCCCCAAUUUUUUUUACUGUUGUUGUUUAGUGGAUUGCAUUGGGUUUGAACUAUCUAUAUUGAUCCGGGGGUCAGGGAAGUGUCCGGUGUGGAGAGAGGACCCCAGAGUGCGGACACCCUCUCCCCUGUCCCGUGCAGCAAAGUCCUCACAUCCUCGACAAGACGGGGGUUUCAGCCUCCCAGGAAUCCUGGGCCCAGCCUUGUUGGCGUUUUGCCGCAUGGGAGACUGAAAAGGGAGUCCUCAAGGUCAGACAGGCAUCUGGGUAAAGGGAGUUGGAGUGAGGACUCAGAUCCGUUCGAUGGCCAAUUCCAUCGGGUUAGUGUAUGAGCCAGGAAAGUUCCCCACUUCCUCCCUGAGCUCAGUUACUCAGGCUGGGUGCUAGUAAUAGGAGUUGGGGCGUAGGGCCUGCCUUAUUCACACAGGCAGUCACAGGGAACUCAGCUACUCUCAUGUCUAAUCCGAGUCCUUAGUGGUGUCGAAAGGGGAGGUGGGAGGUUGUACCCACGAGAAACUGAACAUUCACCUGAUUGGGUGUGAGACUCAGGUGUGUUACCAGUGGCACAAGGAGGACCAGAAAAACCUAGAUGCAGAACCAGACGUGGCCCCCUGACGCGUACAGCAGAUGGAAGGGGCAGAACCAGACAGAAGUGGGUAGAGACUGCUUCCUAGGAGCUGUCAUCAGCAGGACCGUGCCGCCUGGCCAGCAGUAUCGUUCCAUGGUGUGAGGGGAGAUUAUAAAUGGGAAACAGUGUCUGAACGGAGCUGUGUGAGGUCAGGCUCUCUCCGCAUCCCUGUCCUGGAGCAGCUACUCCAACGAAUUCCUUGGGAGACUGCUGCUUUUCCUGAAGGGGUCGAUCCACAGGGCCAGGUGCCAACACCCGUCUGUCUUCUCUCAGUAACAAUGCUUUAUCAAUGGGAGGGGCUCCCCCAACCACGGAGCCUGCACAUGCCGCCUGGUGUGAUACUAACUCCUCAUUUUGAAUCUGUAAUUCUAAAUGUUGCUCAUUAAAAAA